UACGGGGGGGGCAAGCGUUGUUCGGAAUUACUGGGCGUAAAGGGCUUGUAGGUGGCCAACUAAGUCGGAUGUGAAAUCCCCAGGCUUAACCUGGGAACUGCAUCCGAUACUGGCUGGCUUGAAUCCGGGAGAGGGAUGCGGAAUUCCAGGUGUAGCGGUGAAAUGCGUAGAUAUCUGGAGGAACACCGGUGGCGAAGGCGGCAUCCUGGACCGGUAUUGACACUGAAAAGCGAAAGCCAGGGGAGCAAACGGG
rnacentral:rRNA from 1 species